rnacentral:tRNA from 1 species
GGCUAAGUGGUGCAGUGGAUAGAGUAUUGGCCUUGGAAUCAAAAGGAACUGAGUUCAAAUCUAGUCUCAGUCA